GACGAACGCUGGCGGCGUGCUUAACACAUGCAAGUCGAGCGGAGCGGCGAACGGGUGAGUAACGCGUGAGUAACCUGCCCUUCAGAGGGGGACAACAGUUGGAAACGACUGCUAAUACCGCAUACUGAAGGAGGGGUUUGCGUCUGGUUAGCUAGUUGGAGGGGUAACGGCCCACCAGGGCGAUGAUCAGUAGCCGGUCUGAGAGGAUGAACGGACACAUUGGGACGGGGACACGGCCCAGACUCCUACGGGAGGCAGCAGUGGGGAAUCUUCCGCAAUGGACGAAAGUCUGACGGAGCAAAGCCGCGUGAUGGAUGACGGCCUUCGGGUUGUUAAGCUCUGUUAAUCGGGACGCGGUACCGGAAUAGAAAGCCACGGCUAACUACGUGCCAGCAGCCGCGGUAAUAC
rnacentral:rRNA from 1 species